UCCAAGUAGGAAGCAGGAUUGAUUGCCAAUCAAUUCCACCUGCUGUUGUGCAAAGAGAACAAACAACAGGUGGAAAUGAAGGGCGAUUAGCAAGACAAUUCGUACAAGGAAUGGUUUUGCAGGUUGUGGCUUCGACCACCGUAUUUUUCCUUUAUGGCUGAUUUUGUUAGCAAUUGCGCUUUUUUCACCUUGAGACUGUCUACACGCUGCAAAAGUUGCUCAACUAACCUGCAUCCAAUUGAGCACUCCUGGGACAUCAUGUCUUGUUCUAUCCUGCAACACCAGGUCUCACCACACUGCUCUGGAAAGGACCCUCUGAUACAGG